AACGAACGCUGGCGGCAGGCCUAACACAUGCAAGUCGAGCGAGGACUUCGGUUCUAGCGGCGGACGGGUGAGUAACGCGUGGGAAUGUGCCCUUCUCUACGGAAUAGCCCUGGGAAACUGGGAGUAAUACCGUAUACGCCCUAUUGGGAAAGAUUUAUCGGAGAAGGAUCAGCCCGCGUUGGAUUAGGUAGUUGGUGGGGUAAUGGCCUACCAAGCCGACGAUCCAUAGCUGGUUUGAGAGGAUGAUCAGCCACACUGGGACUGAGACACGGCCCAGACUCCUACGGGAGGCAGCAGUGGGGAAUCUUAGACAAUGGGGGCAACCCUGAUCUAGCCAUGCCGCGUGAGUGAUGAAGGCCUUAGGGUUGUAAAGCUCUUUCAGCUGGGAAGAUAAUGACGGUACCAGCAGAAGAAGCCCCGGCUAACUCCGUG
rnacentral:rRNA from 1 species